UACGUAGGGUGCGAGCGUUGUCCGGAAUUAUUGGGCGUAAAGGGCUCGUAGGCGGUUUGUCACGUCGGGAGUGAAAACUCGGGGCUUAACCCCAGUCCUGCUUCCGAUACGGGUGGACUAGAGGUAUGCAGGGGAGAACGGAAUUCCUGGUGUAGCGGUGAAAUGCGCAGAUAUCAGGAGGAACACCGGUGGCGAAGGCGGUUCUCUGGGCAUUACCCGACGCUGAGGAGCGAAAGCAUGGGGAGCAAACAGG
rnacentral:rRNA from 1 species